rnacentral:rRNA from 1 species
AGAGUUUGAUCCUGGCUCAGGACGAACGCUGGCGGCGCGCCUAACACAUGCAAGUCGAACGAGCGAGAGAGAGCUUGCUUUCUCGAGCGAGUGGCGAACGGGUGAGUAACGCGUGAGGAACCUGCCUCAAAGAGGGGGACAACAGUUGGAAACGACUGCUAAUACCGCAUAAGCCCACGGCUCGGCAUCGAGCAGAGGGAAAAGGAGCAAUCCGCUUUGAGAUGGCCUCGCGUCCGAUUAGCUAGUUGGUGAGGUAACGGCCCACCAAGGCGACGAUCGGUAGCCGGACUGAGAGGUUGAACGGCCACAUUGGGACUGAGACACGGCCCAGACUCCUACGGGAGGCAGCAGUGGGGAAUAUUGCACAAUGGGGGAAACCCUGAUGCAGCGACGCCGCGUGGAGGAAGAAGGUCUUCGGAUUGUAAACUCCUGUUGUUGGGGAAGAUAAUGACGGUACCCAACAAGGAAGUGACGGCUAACUACGUGCCAGCAGCCGCGGUAAAACGUAGGUCACAAGCGUUGUCCGGAAUUACUGGGUGUAAAGGGAGCGCAGGCGGGAAGACAAGUUGGAAGUGAAAUCUAUGGGCUCAACCCAUAAACUGCUUUCAAAACUGUUUUUCUUGAGUAGUGCAGAGGUAGGCGGAAUUCCCGGUGUAGCGGUGGAAUGCGUAGAUAUCGGGAGGAACACCAGUGGCGAAGGCGGCCUACUGGGCACCAACUGACGCUGAGGCUCGAAAGUGUGGGUAGCAAACAGGAUUAGAUACCCUGGUAGUCCACACCGUAAACGAUGAUUACUAGGUGUUGGAGGAUUGACCCCUUCAGUGCCGCAGUUAACACAAUAAGUAAUCCACCUGGGGAGUACGACCGCAAGGUUGAAACUCAAAGGAAUUGACGGGGGCCCGCACAAGCAGUGGAGUAUGUGGUUUAAUUCGACGCAACGCGAAGAACCUUACCAAGUCUUGACAUCCCUUGACGAUGCUGGAAACAGUAUUUCUCUUCGGAGCAAGGAGACAGGUGGUGCAUGGUUGUCGUCAGCUCGUGUCGUGAGAUGUUGGGUUAAGUCC